rnacentral:rRNA from 1 species
AUGAGGGCUAGAGGAUGGUCUUGGAGCAAGAAAAGGGUUGAGUCCAGGCGCAUUAUGGUACGACUGAGACUGAGUUGGGCAGGAGCAAGCGGUUGGAUUGGCCUGACUCUUCAAGACCAAAGAUACUCGGCUUCCUCUUCAUCAAGUCACGAAAUUUGACCCUUAGUUAGCAGCACCAAAACUAGAGCAGGCCCAAGACAAGCAAGAACAGUCAGUCAGCACCGAUCAGGCAGGAAGCAGACAGUAAGUUAA